UUGACCUCGGAUCAGGUAGGAAUACCCGCUGAACUUAAGCAUAUCAAUAAGCGGAGGAAAAGAAACCAACAGGGAUU
rnacentral:rRNA from 10 species